UGUUCUGUCACUCUAUGCCCUUGUCCAAAAUGCCUCUCCAGCUCUGAUACAAUGCAGGUGUAACCUGGAUGAGUCUGCUUGGAAAACAGCAAAGCUACGACAAAGGUGCCAUGGGAAGUUCACUUGGGAGCUGCAGGCAGAGAAAAGCAUGUUCCUCCAUGUUUCUGUCAGAAGCACUGUCAUUGUGCAAUCACCUCCUUGACUGAGAGCACGCUUGAGCCUCCCGCAAGUGAGAGUGGAAGAGAUUUGACUGCCUCUUGGAAAACUGGCUCCAAGUCUUCCCAGUGUGGUGAUGUGAAAAUAAUGCAUAGGGCCGCUCACAGCAAGAAAGACAUUGAGGUGCUGGAGUGUG